GAACGCACCUUGCGCUCCUUGGUAUUCCGAGGAGCAUGCCUGUUUGAGUGUCAUUAAUAUAUCAAUCUCUUCAGCUUUUGCUUGUUGAGUAUUGGAUGUGGGGGCCUUUUUUGCUGGUCUUUUAAAAGAGGUCAACUCCCCUAAAAUGUAUUAGCGGAACAAUUUGUUGACCGUUCAUUAGUGUGAUAAUUAUCUACGCUAUUGACGUGAGGCAGUUCAGCUUCUAACAGUCCAUUAACUUGGACAGUUUUUCAUUAAUGUGACCUCAAAUCAGGUAGGACUACCCGCUGAACUUA
rnacentral:misc_RNA from 1 species